GAAGUCUGGCUGGCGGAAGUGGAGCGACGGAAGCCACAGUUGCUAUGGAGCUCGCUGAGGACUGGCUCGUGGAGUCUUUGCGAUUGUAAAUUGGCCCGUGGGCGGGUCUGAUGGGCAAUGGGAGAGGGCGCGUGCGGUUGUGGGCUCGUGGGCAGUGCCCAGGCACGGACCGAUGGAGGUCCUGACCCCCGGCCUCUAGCUCUGGGACUCUGGGUCCUUUGUAAGCAAGUAAUGUGACCAGAUCCGCGCAUGUGAGGGCUGAUAAGGCACACAUGGCCGGUUACCCUGGGCCGGAUUCUAGGUUAACUUGAACACAGGUUUCUCCUGAUUGUUCACCUCAACUUGGGGAAAUCAACUUUAUGGGAGUUCCGCAGGUGAGGAACCAAGGCUUGGUUCCUUAUGGCCAGCCCGGUCUCAUACACCAGGGAGGAAAAUGCAGAAGAAAAGAUUCAGCCCCAUGUUUACCUAACUCCAGAGCCUGGUUCCACCAGUCCUUCAGCGAUCUCCCAGUUCUUGGUUAGCUGUGCGUCGCGUGAUUUUUGUAACCCUAUCCUGCAGGUACCAAGACUUCCAUGCAUUUGACCUCUCAGGAGCCACUCGAGUCCUUGAGUGGAUUGGUGAAAAAGGAGUCUUUGUUGCUGGUUAUGAAAGUUUGAAAAAAAAUGAGAUUCUUCAUUUGAUACUACCUCUCAGGCUCUCUGUACAGGAAAACCAGGGUUUACACCCAGAGAGGGACUUCAAAGUACGCCAUGGAGGAUUUUCAGACAGAUCUGUCUUUGACCUAAAGCAUGUGCCAGAUACCAGGUUGCUGGUGACCAGUGGACUUCCAGGGUGUUACAUACAAAUGUGGCAAGUCAGAGAGGACAACGAUGUCAUUGAAGCAGUCAGUACCAUCGAUGUGCAGGACAAAGAGGAGAGUCUCUGGCCUCGGGUGUCUGUCUUCUGCUCUAAGGCACCAGGAAUCCUCCACGGGGCGCGGCUCAGCGGCCUGAGGACUGUGGAUGUAGAAUCCCAGAAGAUCACAUAUAGCUCAGGUACAGCUGACAGUGAGUCCUUGAGCUGCCUUCAGGUCCUAGACGCAAAUACCUUUGCUUUCUGUGGCAACUCAGGUCGGCUGGGGCUUGUGGACACCCGCCAGAAGUGGGCAGCGUUGGAGACUGUCAGCCCCGGCUCUGGCUGUAGUGGAGAGAGAUGGUGUGCAGAAGUCAGGAACAAGGGCCAAGGCCCUGGGCCCUGCAUUGCCAGCCUUGGCUCAGAUGGGCAGCUCUGUCUCCUUGACUCCCGGAAUCUCUGUCAUCCUGUGAGCUCAGCCCAGUGUCCGGUGUUCAAACCCAGCCCUGACCCAGAGCUGCUGCGGGUGACUUGGGCUCCGGGCCUGGACAACUGCUUGGCUAUUUCAGGCUUUGAUGGGACAGUACAAAUCUAUGAUGUCACAUCAUGGGAUGGAAAGAAAACCCAAGCGGAGCCUCUCUUCACUCACAAAGGCCACAUCUUCCUGGAUGGAAAUGACGUAGACUCUGCUCCUCUGGUCACCACCCAUACCUGGCACCCUCGCAAACCCAGAACUUUGUUAUCAGCAGCAAGUGAUUCUUCUCUGCAUGUGUGGGACUGGGUGGACCUCCAGGCCUCCUGAUGACACAGCAGCUGCCCUCAUGGGCCUCUGAGAAGAGGAGUUGUUUGAGAGGCUGACAUGGACUGUGAGUGAACACAGCUCUACCACAGCCGUUGGCUUCAGGCAAGCUAGCCUGCCCUUCUUGUCCCUUUUUCUUACCUGUAAAAUGAAGGUGUAGUAGGUACCACCUAGUGCUGUGGGGAGCAUCACAAGAAAAUUACCUGAGAACAGUUGGUAGGGCGCACGGCAUAACAUGGCUGGAAGCGACCAUUGCCUCUAGGAGCCCUGCGUCUCCAGGUGUAUAGCAGCAGGCUGUGUUCCUGUCUUCACAGCAUCAUGGUGAGAAUCAGGAGAGCUGGAGUGUGAAUGUGGGUGUGAACUUUCUCACAGAAGGAAUCGAUGUCUCAGGGCCAAUAAACAUCAAAAAGAAUACAAGUAAGAAGCAAUUAGCAAUUUACUUAGUUUUUGUACACAAGACUGGACUGGACUGAGCCUACUGUUCUGAGUUAUGCCCCAACUGCUUUCUUUUACUUCUUCCUAUUUUGUGUGUGUGUGUGUGUGUGUGUGUGUGUGUGUGUGUGUGUGUGUGUGUGUUCGUGUUCAUUACUUGCACGAGGGUGCACGUGCUUGGGUGUGCACACUCAUGAGUAUAGGCACCAAGAAGUGCUGGGAAGGUGGAGUCAUCCCGAGGCCUCUGCUUUGCUAAAGGAUGCACCUUGCUUUCCUCGUGCACACGUGACCUCUGCAUGCUGACUGGAGUAAGCUCUGUCUUCCACUCUGGUGGAUAAGGGUCCCUUCCUUAUGACCUUGUUUAGCCUUAGUUCCUAGACCCCUCUCCAAAUCUAGUCUCUCGGGGUAGGGACUUCAGUGUAUGAAUUUGCAAGGGGUACACACUUCUGUCCACAGCACUUAAAAAUAAUGGGGGGAUAAGAAAAGUCUAACAGCUUUUUUUAUAAUAAAUUUUUUUAAGAUGUA